rnacentral:rRNA from 1 species
GACGAAUGCUGGCUGCGUGCUUAACACAUGCAAGUCGAACGGUGAAGGAGAGCUUGCUCUCCGGAUCAGUGGCGAACGGGUGAGUAACACGUGGGCAACCUGCCCCUCACUCUGGGAUAACGCCGGGAAACCGGCGCUAAUACCGGAUACGACCAGGCGCGACAUCUCGCCUGGUGGAAAGAAUUUCGGUGAGGGAUGGGCCCGCGGCCUAUCAGCUUGUUGGUGGGGUAACGGCCCACCAAGGCGACGACGGGUAGCCGGCCUGAGAGGGCGACCGGCCACACUGGGACUGAGACACGGCCCAGACUCCUACGGGAGGCAGCAGUGGGGAAUAUUGCGCAAUGGGCGAAAGCCUGACGCAGCGACGCAGCGUGAGGGACGACGGCCUUCGGGUUGUAAACCUCUUUCAGCGGGGACGAAGCGAAAGUGACGGUACCCGCAGAAGAAGCACCGGCUAACUACGUGCCAGCAGCCGCGGUAACAC